AACGAACGCUGGCGGCAGGCUUAACACAUGCAAGUCGAGCGCACCGCAAGGUGAGCGGCAGACGGGUGAGUAACGCGUGGGAAUCUACCGAGCCCUAAGGAAUAGCUCCGGGAAACUGGAAUUAAUACCUUAUACGCCCUUCGGGGGAAAGAUUUAUCGGGGUUUGAUGAGCCCGCGUUGGUUUAGCUAGUUGGUGGGGUAAAGGCCUACCAAGGCGACGAUCCAUAGCUGGUCUGAGAGGAUGAUCAGCCACAUUGGGACUGAGACACGGCCCAAACUCCUACGGGAGGCAGCAGUGGGGAAUAUUGGACAAUGGGCGCAAGCCUGAUCCAGCCAUGCCGCGUGAGUGAUGAAGGCCCUAGGGUUGUAAAGCUCUUUCACCGGUGAAGAUAAUGACGGUAACCGGAGAAGAAGCCCCGGCUAACUUCGUGCCAGCCGCCGCGGUAAAAC
rnacentral:rRNA from 1 species